CCUACGGGCGGCAGCAGUGAGGAAUAUUGGUCAAUGGCCGCAGGGCUGAACCAGCCAAGUCGCGUGAGGGAUGACGGUCCUAUGGAUUGUAAACCUCUUUUGUCAGGGAGCAAAGGGCGCCACGUGUGGCGUUUUGCGAGUACCUGAAGAAAAAGCAUCGGCUAACUCCGUGCCAGCAGCCGCGGUAAUACGGAGGAUGCGAGCGUUAUCCGGAUUUAUUGGGUUUAAGGGGUGCGUAGGCGGAAUAUCAAGUCAGCGGUAAAAAUUCGGGGCGCAACCCCGUCGUGCCGUUGAAACUGAUGUUCUUGAGUGGGCGAGAAGUAUGCGGAAUGCGUGGUGUAGCGGUGAAAUGCAUAGAUAUCACGCAGAACUCCGAUUGCGAAGGCAGCUUACUAAACUGUGACUGACAUUGAUGCUCGAAAGUGUGGGUAUCAAACAGGAUUAGAUACCCCUGUAGUC
rnacentral:rRNA from 1 species